UAAUACGAAAGGUGCAAGCGUUACUCGGAAUCACUGGGCGUAAAGCGCUCGUAGGCGGAUUAGUAUGUCAAUUGUGAAAGCCCAGAGCUCAACUCUGGAAUCGCAGUUGAAACUGCUUUUCUUGAAUACCUGAGAGGGUGGGGGAAUACCUAGUGGAGAAGUGAAAUUCGUAGAGAUUAGGUGGAACACCGGAGGCGAAGGCGCCUGCCUGGCAGUGUAUUGACGCUGAGGAGCGAAAGUGUGGGGAGCAAACAGGAUUAGAUACCCUGGUAGUCCACACCGUAAACGAUGGAUACUAGGUGUUCGGAGAGUUAACCCUCUGAGUACCAAAGUUCACACAUUAAGUAUCCCGCCUGGGAAGUACGGUCGCAAGACUAAAACUCAAAGGAAUUUGACGGGGGCCCCG
rnacentral:rRNA from 1 species